AUCACCUGGGGAGAUGGCAGGGCUAAGAUACUCAACAGUGGGAAGCUUCUUACCCUUAACCUUGACAAAGCCUCUGGGUCUGGAUUUCAAUCCAAGAACGAGUAUCUGUUUGGGAAGAUUGAUAUGCAGCUCAAGCUUGUGCCUGGCAACUCUGCUGGAACUGUCACUGCUUAUUAUUUAUCUUCAAAAGGGCCGNNACUUGGGAUGAGAUAGAUUAUGAGUUCUUGGGGAAUUUGAGCGGUGAUCCUUACAUUCUCCACACAAACGUGUUUAGCCAAGGCAAAGGCAACAGAGA
rnacentral:misc_RNA from 1 species